CCCUUAGAUGUUCUGGGCCGCACGCGCGCUACACUGACAGAGCCAGCGAGUUCAUUUCCUUGGCCGGAAGGUCCGGGUAAUCUUGUGAAACUCUGUCGUGCUGGGGAUAGAGCAUUGCAAUUAUUGCUCUUCAACGAGGAAUUCCUAGUAAGCGCAAGUCAUCAGCUUGCGUUGAUUACGUCCCUGCCCUUUGUACACACCGCCCGUCGCUACUACCGAUUGAAUGGCUUAGUGAGGCCUCCGGAUCGGGCCCGGGGAGCGGGCAACCGCACCUUGGGCCUGAGAAGCUGGUCAAACUUGGUCAUUUAGAGGAAGUAAAAGUCGUAACA
rnacentral:rRNA from 1 species